GAUGAACGCUGGCGGCAGGCUUAACACAUGCAAGUCGAGCGGGGGAAGGUAGCUUGCUACUGGACCUAGCGGCGGACGGGUGAGUAAUGCUUAGGAAUCUGCCUAUUAGUGGGGGACAACAUCUCGAAAGGGAUGCUAAUACCGCAUACGUCCUACGGGAGAAAGCAGGGGAUCUUCGGACAUUGCGCUAAUAGAUGAGCCUAAGUCGGGUUAGCUAGUUGGUGGGGUAAAGGCCUACCAAGGCGACGAUAUGUAGCGGGUCUGAGAGGAUGAUCCGCCACACUGGGACUGAGACACGGCCCAGACUCCUACGGGAGGCAGCAGUGGGGAAUAUUGGACAAUGGGGGGAACCCUGAUCCAGCCAUGCCGCGUGUGUGAAGAAGGCCUUAUGGUUGUAAAGCACUUUAAGCGAGGAGGAGGCUACUUUAGUUAAUACCUAGAGAUAGUGGACGUUACUCGCAGAAUAAGCACCGGCUAACUCUGUGCCAGCCGCCGCCGUAA
rnacentral:rRNA from 1 species